rnacentral:rRNA from 1 species
CCUACGGGAGGCUGCAGUGAGGAAUAUUGGUCAAUGGGCGCGAGCCUGAACCAGCCAAGUCGCGUGAAGGAUGACUGUCCUACGGGUUGUAAACUUCUUUUAUCAGGGAAUAAAGUCGGGCACGUGUCCCUGUUUGUAUGUACUUUAUGAAUAAGCAUCGGCUAACUCCGUGCCAGCAGCCGCGGUAAUACGGAGGAUCCGAGCGUUAUCCGGGUUUAUUGGGUUUAAAGGGUGCGUAGGCGGUCUGUAAAGUCCGCGGUAAAAGCCCGGGGCUAAACCCCGGCGCGCCGUUGAAACUGGCGGGCUCGAGAUGGAGAGAAGUAUGCGGAAUGCGCGGUGUAGCGGUGAAAUGCAUAGAUAUCGCGCAGAACUCCGAUUGCGAAGGCAGCAUGCCGGCUCCACACUGACGCUGAGGCACGAAAGCGUGGGUAUCGAACAGGAUUAGAUACCCGUGUAGUC